GGGGGAGAGGAGGGGCGGGUCAAAAAAUCGUCCAAAAUCGCGUGAUGUCAUUUAUGGACGGGGCCCCUAAGACAGCAGGCUAGCGAGAUGGGUGGCCGGGGGUUGGAAAAUCACCGCCACACACUCAAGACGUUCACGAAAUCUCACCGCGGUGUGCCGAUUAACCGGUGGGCCAGAUCUGUGUGGGUUGUUGCGUGUACAACACUUAUCAGAGGACAUUUUUUACCAAGCAACGUUUUUAUACGCCCCGCUGCCCUAUUGCAACAAAAAAAAGAGCCUCGCCUAUUUUUAAUUGUUGUAUUCCGCGCGCGCGCGUACACGCGGUCUUGUACCACGUUUUGCUACGUUUAUUGUUUUUUUUAAAUAAAUAAAAAGCCCCCUCCGCCGAAGGCGCUUGAAAAGUU